rnacentral:rRNA from 1 species
UACGUAGGGUGCAAGCGUUAAUCGGAAUUACUGGGCGUAAAGCGUGCGCAGGCGGUUGUGCAAGACAGAUGUGAAAUCCCCGGGCUCAACCUGGGAAUUGCAUUUGUGACUGCACGGCUAGAGUGUGUCAGAGGGGGGUAGAAUUCCACGUGUAGCAGUGAAAUGCGUAGAGAUGUGGAGGAAUACCGAUGGCGAAGGCAGCCCCCUGGGCCAAAACUGACGCUCAGGCACGAAAGCGUGGGGAGCAAACAGG